AGAAUUUUGUCUCGUCUCUUGAUAGCACGAUACCUUGAGUAAUCCUGAACAGAUUUAAAAAAAAAUAUUAUUCGACUAAGAAUGAAAUUCGUGACGGGUAACCAGAUCAUCUGUCUAUAUAGUCUACUUAUCAUACGGAGUAAUUUUCGACAGCUUUCCAAAAACGUUUUUGCUCGAAAAGUACUUAA